GGCAGUGUUUUGUUUAAAUAGGCCUUCUGUAAAGUCCUGUGGCUGUCUUCUGGAAGAAGGAAGGACAGUGCAGGUCCGCAGGUCGGUUGAAGUAGGCCUACCUGUUGGAUGACUGAGAGUAUCCCAGAAAGCUGGGUUGGAAUUCAUUGCCGUCGAUGAAUUCAUUUUUAUUUUCGAAAAGUUUCCUUGAAGUACCGACUAGUGAAUUGUCUCUUGGUUUGGGCCAAUCGAACAGUUUUCUGAUCUCGGAUCGAUUGAGUGAGUUUCUUUUAUUUUGGGCCAAUUGAACAUAAUAAAGUUAUAAUUAAAAAUGGCACCAACAGCGGUAGAAGUUUUGAGUAGAGACAAUCCACUCCUCAGAAAUGAGAUCAAACGAAUUUCUGAGGAGUGGGAGAAGCGGACAGUUAAAUCAGGCACAAUAUGGCCCGCGGGAGGGACUUUUGAUCAGACAAUGUGUAGGGACAUGGAGGUAGUAAUAAGGAACUACAAACCUAACAGAAGUGGUAAAAAGCCCUUGGAGAAGAGAGACAGGGAAAAGUUAGUGCUAGCUUUGUUCGAAGAGGAGGGAGAGAGGUGGCGCGCAUUACAACGAGUGGCCAGAAGAAUAAUCACAAAGAAAGAAGAGGCUCAACCUUUGCCUCUGAAGCUUGAGCCACCGCCGUACAAACCAAAUAAGAUGUAUCCAAUGUUAACUGGC
ensembl:lncRNA